rnacentral:lncRNA from 1 species
GUUCUUUGUUUUUUAUUAUUAUUGUCUUUUAUUUUUGUUUGUUUGGGUUUGAUUAUUUAGUGAUUGUCUGCCUCCUAUUAUUGCUCAUCAAAUUGCAGAAAGAAAUCCAAAUUUGUCAGAGCUACCAACAACAGUUAUGCGAUGCAUUGGCUGUUCUCAGAGGAAAUAUUGAGAAGUAUUACAACAUAAAUACAGAAGACACAGAAUGUUCACCAGGAAAGCUUUUGAGGCUUUUACGUAACAAACUGCAUGAGAAGGAGUCCAUAAUUAAAAAUCUGGAAAGAAGACUGCAGGAAUGUCAAGAAAAAGGAAGGGCUAAAAUGGUUGUCUUUGAAGAUGAUGACCAUGAAAAAAAAAAGUCUGAAAAGGAGAGAGAGGAUUUCAGUGAAGAGGUUUUUAAACCGGGCAACGAGAUUUCUCGUCUUGAAAAUUCUCUGAAACAGUCUGAAAAAGAAAAAUAUGUAUUAGGUUAAAGUUUAAACUGCUGUUAGAUCAAGAUGAUCAGCUUAAAUGCAACAUGUAAGAAAUGUUACUAAAG